rnacentral:tRNA from 1 species
GCCGGCGUGAUGAAAUUGGUAGACGUGCCAGACUCAAAAUCUGGUGGGCUUUAAGCCCGUGUCGGUUCGACUCCGACCGCCGGCA